CAUUUAUUUGCAGUGCUAAAAGCUAAAAGUUAUGACAGUUCAAGUUAAUGAUAAACUGUUCAAGUAGUAAUGAGAUACAAAGACAAAACAAAUAAUUGAAAAAUAAAAAUCGAUGGAUGGCUAUGCACAUGAGCCAGAAACCACUGAAUCACCUGUUUUACAAUCACAUCACCUUCAAUUGGUAUAUCUUCAUCAUUAGUAAUCCUUGAGAUA
rnacentral:misc_RNA from 1 species